rnacentral:rRNA from 1 species
CCUACGGGCGGCUGCAGUGGGGAAUAUUGGACAAUGGGGGCAACCCUGAUCCAGCCAUGCCGCGUGUGUGAAGAAGGCCCUCGGGUUGUAAAGCACUUUCAGUGAGGAAGAACGCCUGGUGGUUAAUACCCAUCAGGAAAGACAUCACUCACAGAAGAAGCACCGGCUAACUCCGUGCCAGCAGCCGCGGUAAUACGGAGGGUGCGAGCGUUAAUCGGAAUUACUGGGCGUAAAGCGCGCGUAGGUGGCUUGAUAAGCCGGUUGUGAAAGCCCCGGGCUCAACCUGGGAACGGCAUCCGGAACUGUCAAGCUAGAGUGCAGGAGAGGAAGGUAGAAUUCCCGGUGUAGCGGUGAAAUGCGUAGAGCUCGGGAGGAAUACCAGUGGCGAAGGCGGCCUUCUGGACUGACACUGACACUGAGGUGCGAAAGCGUGGGUAGCAAACAGGAUUAGAUACCCUUGUAGUC